rnacentral:misc_RNA from 1 species
AGUGGUUUUCUUGUUCAAGCGUUAGUAAAACGUUUUCUCGCGUGCAGUUCAGCAGCCCAGGAAUUCUCAGCUACAGCUAAGCCAAACCGGCUCUCCUGGCCGAGUUGGAAAUGGACGCCGGACCCAUUCUUCGAGACAUCAUGAUGGGCCACUUCUUGGACGGAGGAGCUGACGGUGGCGAUAGCAUCUUCUCCGACAUCGAAGUCUGCGAACUGUCGCCGCCGACCACCGAAGAAGAACGGGGCGGUGCUCAGUACGAGUCGGCCGGACUGACCCCGACAUCGCCUACCCGUUCGUCCAAGUCCCGGCGCCAGUCUAGGCCUAACUACGCCGCGCUCGCCGGUAAGUCGCGUUCCCGCGCCAAGAGCGAGGCGCUUUGCAGCUUUGACGAAGUUCGCGUAGACGAGUGCGAAGAGGAAUCCGUUUCACCGGGUUACUUAGAAGACGAGGAAGAGGAUUACUCGGACGCGAUGAAGACCCGCGGCAGUUGCAUGAGCAAGAACGCCAUUGCCGCUAGAGAGAACAGGAUAAGGAAAAAGUUGUACGUGAGCAAACUCGAGCGAAGCGUUCGCCAUCUUUCAACCGAGAACGCUACCAUGAAGAGGCGAGCGCAAGAGAUGAGACGCGAGAUUGAAGAGCUUAGCGAAGAGGUGCAGUACUUGAGAAGCGUGCUGUGCAAUGCCGACGAGAUAAAGACCUUGGUGCGCAGCAUUCGGGCGGUUAGGCCUAGCCUGGCGACCAGUACCAAGAGUGCUGGCGACACGCUGAAGCGCGAGAGGGUGGAGGAAGACCACGAUUACGUCGCUGCAGGCGGCAAGAGGAGGCCGCCCGUCGACAAGAAGGCGGGUGGUGUGUGUAUCCACGUAGCCAACGGCACCGUGUCGUUGGAAUUCUGUCAUCGAUGUGCCGCUAAGUCCGAGGAUGCUUGGCAAGAUGGACAGUGAGUGCACCAAGCAAGCGGGGGGGUGACAAGAAUCGCGCCUGGGAGAGGCCGCCUUUUUUUUUUUCGAUUCCAUGGUGUGAACCUUCUGGACAGACGCGACAUACGAUGGUCGGUACAGCGUGUCCUUAUUUACCAGCUGUUAUCUGUUUAAGGACUUCGAAUGUGAACUGUGUGUGUGUGCCGCUUCCAGAUUGAACUGAGGACAGACACCUCUCUUUUUUGCUUUUCACGGUUUUUCUCGUUUCAGGUGAUCGUCUCUGGACGGUAGAGGCCUGCGAGUCUGGUACCGGCCGUCCACGCUCUGCACAGAGACGAGGAUCUUGGUCUCACAAUCCUUGCACACCAUCUACGAUGCUUCCACUGCUGACUGGGUGCUGCCUCAAGGAUCACCACGCAUGGGUCAAGAUGGUAUGUGGUAGGUCUCCGGUAAAACCUCGGUGAUUUUUUUUUUCCCCUUGUAUAAUAUUUCUCGAUCAGAUUUUAUUUGUUUGUUCAGGAUUGUUGCUGGUUAGUAGAGCCAAGCACGCUUACUUUUGUUGACUGUUGAAAGAUACGCUGUCGUAAACAUUUCUUGUGUAUUUAAAAUGGCUGUAAAUAUGUUUUGAAUGAGACACUGAUGUACCUGUGUGUGAGUAUUGUAAAUAUUGAAGGUGUGAUCAAUUUGAGCCACUUGAAAUAAAUGUGUUAUGCCACUAAAA